GUAUACGAAGUCCAGCGGUAAGGACGACACCAUUGAACGGUGUAAACAGGGGUUCUAGUCCCUUAGGAGACA
rnacentral:tRNA from 1 species